rnacentral:lncRNA from 1 species
CUGCUGAAAGACGACUCACCAAUCAAUUCUGAAUUUGUUCUACCUGAUACUGUAACUCCCCCCAUAUCAUUACCUAAUUCAGAAACUGUUCUACCUGAUACUGUAACUCCCCUCAUAUCAUUAUCUAAUUCAGAAACUGUUCUACCUGAUACUGUAACUCCCCUCAUAUCAUUACCUAAUUCAGCCAGUUUAGUACAUAAGAAGCUUAAGCAGUACAUAGGUCAACCAACAGGUGACACAUCAGAGUUGUCCAAUUUAAUAUUUCAAAAUACAGAGACGACAAUUCUGUCUACUCAACCCCUACAGUCUAACUUAAUACAAACGCACACACCGUCUCCAAAACUUCACGUUGAGCUAUCUGUAACAAAUGCUCAGCGUUCCUAUGGAAACACACAUUUACCUACAAGCACUCCACAAAACCCCAGAACCCAAGAAGUUUCCCCAAAAAAAUACUCAAUUACUGAGCCUUCUUUCGUAGACGCCCAGACACCAAGCCUGUGCCUGCUUCCUGUUGACCCCCCAACCCAGACUCUCUCUCAGAUAACAGACCCAUCUCCAGCAGACUUCUCACCGGCGCCGGCGCCUUCACACCCUCUUCUGGAGAAACAUGACAUCCCCAUCGUGGUUGGAGUCGGGGUGUCACUGGCCUUCAUCUUCAUCACCAUGACGUUCUACUCUCUGGUCCCGAAGAACGAGCCUCCUGCAGCAACAGCUCCUACUACCAGUCGAGGAGUCCAGAGGAAUUUUGGCCUCCCUUCCAGACAUGCAGAAUGUUUGGUGACAGGAAGGACCUACGACAACAGGGCUUUUGAAGAUGAUAACCUGGCUGUUAUUGAGCAAAGUCCAAACGCCUCUGACACCAGAGCCGAUGCCCCCACCCACGCCUCCGAUGCCUCCGCCCACAGCACCACGGCCCUGAUGAUGAUGAAGCCCAUAUGCACCGUCAUAGAUGAGGUCUCCGCCCACAAAGACUUGCCAGUCAUAGUAGAAACUCACCAGAAUCACCAAGAGUCAGUCUCAAAGGACCCGGUUGGUCAUGAAAAUAACUUAACUAAUUAAAAAACAA